AACGAACGCUGGCGGCAGGCUUAACACAUGCAAGUCGAACGCCCCGCAAGGAGAGUGGCAGACGGGUGAGUAACGCGUGGGAACGUGCCCUUCGCUUCGGAAUAGCCCCGGGAAACUGGGAGUAAUACCGAAUACGCCGUAUUGGGAAAGAUUUAUCGGCGAAGGAUCGGCCCGCGUUAGAUUAGCUAGUUGGCGGUGUAAUGGACCACCAAGGCUACGAUCUAUAGCUGGUCUGAGAGGAUGAUCAGCCACACUGGGACUGAGACACGGCCCAGACUCCUACGGGAGGCAGCAGUGGGGAAUCUUGGACAAUGGGCGCAAGCCUGAUCCAGCCAUGCCGCGUGAGUGAAGAAGGCCUUAGGGUUGUAAAACUCUUUCGCCGGAGAAGAUAAUGACGGUAUCCGGAGAAGAAGCCCCGGCUAACUUCGUGCCAGCAGCCGCCGUAACAC
rnacentral:rRNA from 1 species